rnacentral:miRNA from 1 species
GACGUCGAUAUUCGACGUCAUAAACACGAUCAACUUUGGUGUUUAUGACGUCGAUAUUCGACGUCAUAAACACGAUCAACUUUGGUGUUUAUGACGUCGAUAUUCGACGUCAUAAACACGAUCAACUUUGGUGUUUAUGACGUCGAUAUUCGACGUCAUAAACACGAUCAACUUUGGUGUUUAUGACGUCGAUAUUCGACGUCAUAAACACGAUCAACUUUGGUGUUUAUGACGUCGAUAAUCGACGUC